rnacentral:tRNA from 1 species
GCCGGGGUGGCGAAACAGGAAGACGCAGGGGACUUAAAAUCCCUUGAGCACGGAGCUCGUGUGGGUUCGAAUCCCGCCCCCGGCA